rnacentral:lncRNA from 1 species
UGAUACAAAAUAUAUUAAGAUUGUGUUUCAUAAUAUAUUAUAAUUUGUGUUCAACAUUUUGGGUUUCACAAAUUUCACUUGGCCAACAUGUGCAAUUGUCGCACAAAUUAUGUCAGUCAUACGAGAUACAAAGUAAAAAAUUUAAGAGAACUAGUUUUCAAUACAAAAAUCUAACCCAAUACUAUUCUCAUAUAACUCUUAUACAAUUUGUGUCAGUUGUAUGAGUUAAAAAGUAAUAUUCUCCAAGAGAAUUGGUUUGCAAUACGGCACUCUAUCCCAAUGUUAUACGCAUCGACCAGAAUAUAUUAAAAUGACAUUACUUAUAGUGGAAUCAGCCACUGAUACUAUAUUAUGGUAGACUGCCUAUAUCACAUUUCUUUUGAAUGCGAGUUUUUUCUGAGCUUUGCGUGAACGCAAAAUACUUCAUACAACGAGCUGCUCUACGUAAUGACCCUAUGUAAUGAAGGGUUCAUAUUGCAAACUUGCAGAAGAAAAAAAUGGCUCAUUCUCUUUGAACUAUGCCUCUUCUAAGAGACAAUGACACUUCUCCCCAAGAAAUUAUAUAUACUUAUUACUUACAAAUUAAAUAGAACUUGUUGAAUAUAAUUGUAGAAGGGGGAGUCUUGUGUAACUGGUAAAAUUGUUGUUAUGUGACCAGGAAAUAACGGCAAAGUAAGAUUGCGUACGAUAGACCCUUAUGGUCCGGCCCUUCGAGCUACCGUUGUUGAAUAUAAUUGUAAGAGAAGAUGAACAUUGUACAAUGAUUGGAUACUUAUAAACCUAGACCUAUCCUUAUGAAUAUACGAAAUAAAGGUACUAAAAGAAGAUUGCUUUCUAAUCCUAUAAUUGAUGUCACUUUCAUUAAACAUUUAAACUGCCCUUUCACGUAUAUCUUGUCCCCAAUAGUUGUCUCCCAUGAUCCCAUGUUACUGUUCUAUUACACUGAGAAACAAGAAGAAAAAAAUGAAACUAUUUCUUUAGCUAAAAAAAUGAUCAUUGGAAAAUUAGAAUGUAUGCCUUAGCCUAUACAUUAUGGAUUCGAACCAUGGAAUCAAUCACCGGUUUUUGCAUUGGAGACAUGACCUUGCGGACUCUAAGUGAACACGAGAUAUUUUGUACAUCGAGUGAGUUAAGGAUUUAUCAAUAAGUAAUGUUGCAUCAAUGCCCAACCAAAGGGCGACUGUACCUUUUUUUAUGCCCUAACCAAAGUGUGACGAGACCGUAACUCAAACAAGACGAUCUGUCCAGCCUAGCGAACUUUCAAUGCCAAAGUUAGCUAGUCAGCCUACCCGGAAGCUUAGCAGAACUUU